rnacentral:rRNA from 1 species
AACGAACGCUGGCGGCAUGCCUAACACAUGCAAGUCGAACGAGAACUCCGGGUCCUUUCGCGCACGGGUUCGUAACCCGAGGGAAGCUUCCCUUAUGUUCGGCCUAACUCUCCGACUGGGGUGCUAAUAGGAAACCGUAUCUACGACCCAAUGAUUUAUCGCGUCUGGAUGUGCCGGCGUUGGAUUAGCUUGUUGGUAGGGUAAAAGCCUACCAAGGCGACGAUGCAUAGCUGGUCUGAGAGGAUGAUCAGCCACACUGGGACUAAGACGCGGCCCAGACUCCUACGGGAGGCAGCAGUGGGGAAUAUUGGACAGUGGGCGGAAGGCUGAUCCAGCAAUGCCGCGUGAGUGAUGAAGGCCGUGGGGUUGUAAAGCUCUAUUACCCAGGAUGAUAAUGACAGUACCGGGACAAAAAGCUCCGGCUAACUCCGUG